AAAAUAUGCAUUGUGAGAGGAUUUUUUGUCCUCUUUUACUGGUUUGUUCAUGGAAAAUAAAGUGUUUCUUGAAAGAUUAAGUUGUACGCAACGAUAUAACGACUUAAUCGCAUGAAAACGUGCGAAGAAUUUUUAUUUACAAAUGGGCGACAAGUGGAAAUGUUUCACUCAUUGUCAGAGUUUCAGAAGCAGGGUACAGCAGUAUGGAAACAAGGAAGUGUUCAUAUUUUACUCUUGAUAGAAGCUGAGUUGUUGUUGUUUCCACAGGUAUGUUCAAUAAUUUGUUUGUCCUUCCUCAUCUGGAAUAAUAAGUGUCUUAAAAUACAUAUUUUGAUGAAAAUGACACAUAUUCCUCUUGCAAUUUCGUAAAAACUGGCCGUUGCCUUUAGUUAGAAAAUAUAUUUUAUGAAAGUUAAAGGUGAUCUACAGUCCGAUCUGCGCAUGUGCACAAAUGAGCCCACUUUUUAUGAUACAAACAGUUUAACUAUGUUUUGAGUUCUUGAAAAG